rnacentral:rRNA from 1 species
GCACAACGCGAAGAACCUUACCUAGGCUUGACAUGCAUCUCUAAGCGCGUGAAAGCGCGUGACCCUUCGGGGGAUUUGUCACAGGUGCUGCAUGGCCGUCGUCAGCUCGUGUCGUGAGAUGUUGGGUUAAGUCCCGCAACGAGCGCAACCCUUGUGAACAGUUGCCAGCACUUAAGGUGGGAACUCUGUUCAGACUGCCCAGAUCAACCGGAGGAAGGUGGGGAUGACGUCAAGUCAUCAUGGCCCUUAUGACCAGGGCUACACACGUGCUACAAUGGCCAGUACAAAGGGUUGCCAACCCGCGAGGGGGAGCCAAUCCCAUAAAGCUGGUCGUAGUCCGGAUCGCAGUCUGCAACUCGACUGCGUGAAGUCGGAAUCGCUAGUAAUCGCGAAUCAGAAUGUCGCGGUGAAUACGUU